rnacentral:rRNA from 1 species
GACGAACGCUGGCGGCGUGCCUAAUACAUGCAAGUAGAACGCAGUUGCGAACGGGUGAGUAAAGCGUAGGUAACUGCCUCAUAGCGGGGGAUAACUAUUGGAAAAGAUAGAUAAUAACGCAUACUGUGAGAUGGAUAUGCGUUGUAUUAGCUAGUUGGUGAGGUAAAGGCUCACCAAGGCCACGAUACAUAGCCGACCUGAGAGGGAGAUCCGCCACACUUGGACUGAGACACGGCCCAGACUCCCACCGGAGGUCGCAGUAGGGAAACUUCGGCAAUGGACGGAAGGCUGACCGAGCAACUCCGCGGUAUUGAAGAAAGUUUUCGGAUUGUAAAGGGCUUUUGAGAGGGAAGCGUUAACUACACAGAAAGGACCGGCUAACUACGUGCCAGCAGCCGCGGUAAUUC